rnacentral:rRNA from 1 species
GCUUGCUGAAUACACGACCGGCGCACGGGUGAGUAACACGUUUGCAACCUUCCCCUAACUGGAGAAUAGCCCGAAGAAAUUCGGAUUAAUACUCCAUAAAGUCAAUUUAAGGCAUCUUUUAUUGAUUAAAGCUCCGGCGGUUAGAGAUGGGCAUGCGUGUCAUUAGCUAGUUGGUGAGGUAACGGCUCACCAAGGCCACGAUGACUAGGGGGUCUGAGAGGAUGAUCCCCCACACUGGUACUGAGACACGGACCAGACUCCUACGGGAGGCAGCAGUGAGGAAUAUUGGGCAAUGGACGCAAGUCUGACCCAGCCAUGCCGCGUGCAGGGUGACUGCCCUAUGGGUUGUAAACUGCUUUUGUUUGGGAAGAAACCCCCGAUCGUGAUCGGGGCUGACGGUACCAUACGAAUAAGCAUCGGCUAACUCCGUGCCAGCAGCCGCGGUAAUACGGAGGAUGCAAGCGUUAUCCGGAUUCAUUGGGUUUAAAGGGUGCGCAGGCGGAAUAUUAAGUCAGUGGUGAAAUCCUGCAGCUUAACUGUAGAACUGCCAUUGAUACUGAUAUUCUUGAAUAUAGUUGAGGUGGGCGGAAUGUGUAAUGUAGCGGUGAAAUGCUUAGAUAUUACACAGAACACCAAUUGCGAAGGCAGCUCACUAAACUAAUAUUGACGCUGAGGCACGAAAGCGUGGGUAGCAAACAGGAUUAGAUACCCUGGUAGUCCACGCUGUAAACUAUGAUCACUCGCUGUUGGCAAUACAUCGUCAGCGGCUGAGCGAAAGCAUUAAGUGAUCCACCUGGGGAGUACGGUCGCAAGAUUGAAACUCAAAGGAAUUGACGGGGGCCCGCACAAGCGGAGGAACAUGUGGUUUAAUUCGAUGAUACGCGAGGAACCUUACCUGGGCUUAAAUGCAGAGCGACGUCCGCCGAAAGGUGGAUUCCUUCGGGCGAUCUGCAAGGUGCUGCAUGGUUGUCGUCAGCUCGUGCCGUGAGGUGUCGGGUUAAGUCCCAUAACGAGCGCAACCCUUAUCGUUAGUUGCCAGCGGGUAAUGCCGGGGACUCUAACGAAACUGCCGGUGUAAACCGUGAGGAAGGUGGGGAUGACGUCAAAUCAGCACGGCCCUUAUGUCCAGGGCUACACACGCGUUACAAUGGUCGGUACAGAGGGCAGCUACCACGCGAGUGGAUGCUAAUCUCGAAAACCGGUCUCAGUUCGGAUUGAAGUCUGCAACUCGACUUCAUGAAGCUGGAUUCGCUAGUAAUCGCGCAUCAGCCAUGGCGCGGUGAUACGUUCCCGGGCCUUGUACACACCGCCCGUCAAGCCAUGGAAGCUUGGGGUACCUGAAGUCCUAACCGCAAGGAGCGGCCUAGGGUAAGACAAGUGACUGGGGCUAAGU